GGUGCGUGGAUGGUGUUUCUAGGGAAACCAGUGUCACCUUGGCCGACAGCCUGGUUUACCUCAUACCGGCAGGUGGGGCUGCCGCAGGCACCAAGGUCAGCGCCGUGUCCGGGCACGGCGAACACAAGGACGGCGGCCUGCUGGGGUCAGCGCACGCAGGACAAAAGAACGCGCGCGGGCCAGAGGGAGCGACCGGUCCACGUGACACGCCGCGACCUUGGGGCUCUCCCGGGCCGCCAGGCCACCUACUCCCUAGCCCGCCACCUUCGCGGCUCCGCCGCCAGAGCCAAUAGCGCUCGGCCCCCCGACCCCCGGCGCAAGUCCGCGUCCGCCAAUCUCCGCCCGCCUGGAGGACCCUGCCACGCCAUUGGCUAUAACGUCUGUCCGUCAGGUCUCGUCCCCCGCCCACCAUCGCCGCCCUCCGCCAGCCCGGCUCUGUCCGGCUUCACGCCCGUCACUCAGGCACUCCGGAAGCAAGGACGCAUAGGCCUCACCCUCGGCCGCGAGCUCCGGGUGUCAAGCGCCGAGCCUCCCAGCCCUGGACGGAGCCCGUCUGCCGCACAAGGUUACCUGUCUCCCGUUCAGCUCCACCCGAGUGAAGCGCCGACACCACUCCGGGCUCCAAACUCUCAGCCCCGCCCCGGCGUGUGGCGUCAACGCGUAGCCCGGCCCCAGAGGAGCGGCCUGCAAGACAGGCUGUGGGCGUGACGUGACGUCACAGAAUUGGGUUUCAGUCGCUCGCUCGGGCUUCGCGCCAAUGCAGAACUUUGCAUCUGGCCAAAGCCAGCCUGUUGCUCACUGUCUUUCGGCUGUCAUUAGCAGUUACACGGGAGACGCUUCCGAAGCUUGUUAAGAACCUGGUACAUUCAGGGCGUGGGAUGCCGUCUGAUAAUUGAAGCGUUUGGCGGGCCGAAGCAGGAGCGCUGCGACUUUGAGGCCCACGGGCUUUGUAUCCAAAACAAGCUGCCCUAAAUAAUAGUUGGGUUGGUAAAAUGUAUCCCUGCACAAAAUAAUUUGAAUAACAUGAGUGACUAUUUUGAACACUUGUUUUGCAGCAGUCCUUAUGAAGAUUAGUUAGCGAGGUCUAAUGUGACUUGGUUGUCAUGCGACUUGGGUGUUCCUGCUAGUAUUCUGACAGGAAGCUGUGCUGGGGUCCCCCUGGAUCUUCCUGGCUCCAGAGCCUGCUCUAAACAGACAAAAUCCACUAGUUAACCUGUUACACUUCACUAAUAUGAAAUGUUCCCCGUGUCAAAAUGUUAAGCCAGAGCCUGGCUGUGUGAGUGCACACCUUAAAGCAGAGCACUCAGAAGCAGAGGCAGGCUCAUCUCUGAGUUUGAGGUCAGCCUGGUCUACAGAGAGAGUUUCAGGGCCACAUAGAGAAACCCUGUCUUGGGAAACAAAAUAAAAAACUAACAAAAAUAUUCAGCCAGAUUUUGCAGCACACACCUGCAAUUUCAGAACAGAGAAAAACUGACCAAUUGGGAGGUCAAGAUGGGCUACAUAGAGUUCUUGUGGGCAGCCUGGGCUACACAGUUGGAUCAGGUCUCAAAAAGGAGAGUGGUUCAUUUCAUACUCAUGUCUUUUGUUGUUGUUGUUUGAGACAAUGGCAUGUAGCUGAGGCUGGAUUCAAUUUCAUAAUGUAGGCUGACCUUGCUCUGUUUCUUUUACCUGCAUAUACCAGGUGCUAGGACUAUAGCUAUAAGUCCCAUGCCCAGCUUCAUGCUCAUGGCCUUUAACUCUCCGCUUGUUUCUCUUUUUUAGCAGAGUAGUUUUUGAUGGACAGCAAUACAGACUGUCAGUUUAUCCUUGCUAUGUAUGGCAAAUGGCACCAGUGCUGGAUGAGCUGGCUGGAGAGUCCUUUUGCUCUACUGAAAUAGAAGUCACAAGUAGUCACAAGUAUGCCAGAAGCUCUUCAAGCUUUGGUAGCAGUGAUAGGCCACAGUACAAGGGCAGAAGCAUCAGCAAUGGUACACGUGAGUUGUCCUCCCAUGGACCUGGGGUAUAUCGUCCUAAGAAGCCUAAGGGCUAAGAAGCCAAGAUUCCUCAGCCCACAGUUAGAACUUGCUAUUGCAGCUUAAAUGUGGCCUAGGUACUCAAAUCCCUCUAUCCAGAUUGCAUAAAGAGUUAUAGAGGGGCUGGAGAGAUGACUCAGCAGUUAAGAGCACUGACUUCCAGAGGUCCUGAGUUCAAUUCCCAGCAACCACAUGAUGGCUCACAACCAUCUGUAAUGGGAUCCAAUACCCUCUUCUGGUGUGUCUGAAGACAGCAACAGUGUACUACUGAUAAACAUAAAAUAUCUUUAAAAAAAAAGUUACAGAGAUGUGUCAAGUCUUUAUGGCUAAGGGCCUUUUUUGUUUGUUUGUUUGUGUGUUUUUUUGAGACAGAGUUUUUCUGUGUAGCACUGGCUGUCCUGGAACUUACUCUGUUGACCAGGCUCUGCCUCCCAA